rnacentral:rRNA from 1 species
UGCAGUCGAACGAGAACGGAUUAUAGCUUGCUAUAAUUGUCAGCUAAGUGGCGUACGGGUGAGUAAUAUAUAGAUAACCUGCCCUCUAGAAAGGAAUAACAGUUGGAAACGACUGCUAAUGCCCUAUAUGCCUUUAAUACAUAAGUAUGCAAGGGAAACGCUUUAGUGCUAGAGGAUGGGUCUGUAUGGUAUCAGCUUGUUGGUGAGGUAAUGGCUCACCAAGGCUAUGACGCCUAACUGGUUUGAGAGGAUGAUCAGUCACACUGGAACUGAGACACGGUCCAGACUCCUACGGGAGGCAGCAGUGGGGAAUAUUGCACAAUGGACGAAAGUCUGAUGCAGCAACGCCGCGUGGAGGAUGACACAUUUCGGUGCGUAAACUCCUUUUAUAUGGGAAGAUAAUGACGGUACCAUAUGAAUAAGCACCGGCUAACUCCGUGCCAGCAGCCGCGGUAAUACGGAGGGUGCAAGCGUUACUCGGAAUCACUGGGCGUAAAGAGCGUGUAGGCGGGUAUAUAAGUCAGAAGUGAAAUCCAAUAGCUUAACUAUUGAACUGCUUUUGAAACUGUGUACCUAGAAUGUGGGAGAGGUAGAUGGAAUUUCUGGUGUAGGGGUAAAAUCCGUAGAGAUCAGAAGGAAUACCGAUUGCGAAGGCGAUCUACUGGAACAUUAUUGACGCUGAGACGCGAAAGCGUGGGGAGCAAACAGGAUUAGAUACCCUGGUAGUCCACGCCCUAAACGAUGCACACUAG